rnacentral:rRNA from 1 species
UACGAAGGGGUCUAGCGUUGCUCGGAAUGACUGGGCGUAAAGGGCGCGUAGGCGGUUUGUAAAGUCAGAUGUGAAAUUCCCGGGCUCAACCUGGGGGCUGCAUUUGAUACGUGCGGACUUGAGUGGGGAAGAGGGUCGUGGAAUUCCCAGUGUAGAGGUGAAAUUCGUAGAUAUUGGGAAGAACACCGGUGGCGAAGGCGGCGACCUGGUCCUUGACUGACGCUGAGGCGCGAAAGCGUGGGGAGCAAACAGG